AGCAGCCGCGGUAAUUCCAGCUCCAAUAGCGUAUAUUAAAGUUGUUGCAGUUAAAAGCUCGUAGUUGAAUUUCGGGGUUCUACCGUUGGUCGGGCUUUGUCUGUACUGGCGUGUAGAAUUUCUACCUUCUGGGGAACUAUCAUGUUAUUAAUUUAGCGUGGUAGGAAACCAGAACCUUUACCUUGAAAAAUUAGAGUGUUCAAAGCAGGCUUAUGUCUGAAUACAUUAGCAUGGAAUAAUAAAAUAGGACGGUGGUCCUGUUUUGUUGGUUUCUGAAUCACCGUAAUGAUUAAUAGGGAUAGUUGGGGGCAGUUAGUAUUCAAUUGUCAGAGGUGAAUUCUUGGAUUUAUUGAAGACUAACUACUGCGAAAGCAUUUGCCAAGGAUGUUUUCAUUAAUCAAGAACGAAAGUUAGGGAUCGAAGACGAUCAGAUACCGUCGUAGUCUUAACCAUAAACUAUGCCGACUAGGGA
rnacentral:rRNA from 1 species